rnacentral:SRP_RNA from 1 species
CGGCAAGUCCUUAAACAACCAGCUCCUGAGAAUCCUCCAGGGUGGGAACGCAGCAAAGGCAAUCGGUUGUAGCGGUGUGAUUUAGGUAGCUUGCCAUUU